GUGUGCAGCCUUGGACAAGGAGUUUUUUUUCAGAUUUUUUUUUAUUUUUUUCUAGGAUUAAAAUUAAAUUAGAUCUAAUUUUUAAUAUAAAAAUUUAGAGAAAAAAUAUCAAAAAAUCUGAUUGGGUGUUUGGGGCUUCUUAAAAAGAAAGGUUCUUCUUAAAGGUGUAAAAGAAAGAGAAAAAGGUUCUCUCUUAUGUGUAGGAGAAUUGAGAAGAAAGGGUUCUUCUUUUGAUCCCUAUCGU
rnacentral:lncRNA from 1 species